GUGAGGAAUAUUGCGCAAUGGAGGCAACUCUGACGCAGCCAUGCCGCGUGCAGGAAGAAGGCGCUACGCGUUGUAAACUGCUUUUAACCGGGAAGAAACCCCAGGACGUGUCCUGGGUUGACGGUACCGGAGGAAUAAGCACCGGCUAACUUCGUGCCAGCAGCCGCGGUAAUACGAAGGGUGCAAGCGAUAUCCGGAUUCAUUGGGUUUAAAGGGUUCGUAGGAGGAGCGUUAAGUCAGUGGUGAAAUCCUGCAGCUUAACUGUAGACUUGCCAUUGAGACUGGCGCUCUUGAGUGCGCUUGAAGUGGGCGGAAUGUGCCGUGUAGCGGUGAAAUGCUUAGAUAUGGCACAGAACACCAAUUGCGAAGGCAGCUCACUAAGGCGAUACUGACGCUGAGGCACGAAAGCGUGGGGAUCGAACAGGAUUAGAAACCCGUGUAGUCC
rnacentral:rRNA from 1 species